ACGGCUCAGUAACACGUCGGUAACCUACCCUCGGGAGGGGGAUAACCCCGGGAAACUGGGGCUAAUUCCCCAUAGGCCUGAGGUACUGGAAGGUCCUCAGGCCGAAAGGGACUUAUGUCCGCCCGAGGAUGGGCCGGCGGCCGAUUAGGUAGUUGGUGGGGUAAUGGCCCACCAAGCCGAAGAUCGGUACGGGCUGUGAGGGCAGGAGCCCGGAGAUGGACACUGAGACACGGGUCCAGGCCCUACGGGGCGCAGCAGGCGCGAAACCUCCGCAAUGCGGGAAACCGCGACGGGGGGACCCCGAGUGCCGUGGCAACGCCACGGCUUUUCCGGAGUGUAAAAAGCUCCGGGAAUAAGGACUGGGCAAGGCCGGUGGCAGCCGCCGUGGUAAUACCGGCGGCCCGAGUGGUGGCCGCUAUUAUUGGGCCUAAAGCGUCCGUAGCCGGGCCCGUAAGUCCCUGGCGAAAUCCCACGGCUCAACCGUGGGGCUUGCUGGGGAUACUGCGGGUCUUGGGACCGGGAGAGGCGGGGGGUACCCCUGGGGUAGGGGUGAAAUCCUAUAAUCCCAGGGGGACCGCCAGUGGCGAAGGCGCCCCGCUGGAACGGGUCCGACGGUGAGGGACGAAGGCCAGGGGAGCAAACCGGAUUAGAUACCCGGGUAGUCCUGGCUGUAAAGGAUGCGGGCUAGGUGUCAGGUGAGCCUCGAGCUCGCCCGGUGCCGUAGGGAAGCCGUUAAGCCCGCCGCCUGGGGAGUACGGCCGCAAGGCUGAAACUUAAAGGAAUUGGCGGGGGAG
rnacentral:rRNA from 1 species